GACGAACGCUGGCGGCGUGCCUAAUACAUGCAAGUCGAGCGCAGGAAGCUGGCGGAACUCUUCGGAGGGAAGGCAGUGGAAUGAGCGGCGGACGGGUAAGUAACACGUAAGGAACCUGCCUCAAGGAUUGGGAUAACUCCGAGAAAUCGGAGCUAAUACCGGAUAGUACAACGGACCGCAUGGUCCGCUGAUGAAAGGCGCUCCGGCGUCACCUUGAGAUGGCCUUGCGGUGCAUUAGCUAGUUGGUGGGGUAACGGCCCACCAAGGCGACGAUGCAUAGCCGACCUGAGAGGGUGAUCGGCCACACUGGGACUGAGACACGGCCCAGACUCCUACGGGAGGCAGCAGUAGGGAAUCUUCCACAAUGGACGAAAGUCUGAUGGAGCAACGCCGCGUGAGUGAUGAAGGUUUUCGGAUCGUAAAACUCUGUUGUAAGGGAAGAACACGUACGAGAGGAAAUGCUCGUACCUUGACGGUACCUUACGAGAAAGCCACGGCUAACUACGUGCCAGCCGCCGCAGUAA
rnacentral:rRNA from 1 species